rfam:Candidatus Portnoybacteria bacterium RIFCSPHIGHO2_01_FTLL_40_12b rifcsphigho2_01_scaffold_1520, whole genome shotgun sequence.
UUCAUUGAGAGUUUGAUCCUGGCUCAGGAUGAACGCUGGCGGCGUGGAUAAGGCAUGCAAGUCGAACGAUCCUUCGCUCUUUACUGCGUAAAGAGCUACGGAAUCGCAGGCGCUCUAAUUCUAUCAGAGAGCUUGCUAUUCCGAAGCUCAUCACAUAGUGAUGAGCGUAGGAUAGUGGCGAACGGGUUAGUAAUACGUAGGUAAUUAUCUUUAAGUUGGGAAUAACUUCGAGAAAUCGAGGCUAAUACCCGAUAGUCCCGCAAGGGUAAAGUUUUCGAGUAAUCGAUUUCGCUUAAAGAGAUGCCUGCGUCCUAUCAGCUUGUUGGUAGGGUAACGGCCUACCAAGGCUAUGACGGGUAGGGGGCGUGAGAGCGUGACCCCCAACAGAGGUACUGCGACACGGACCUCACACCUACGGGUGGCAGCAGUCGAGAAUCUUCGGCAAUGGGCGAAAGCCUGACCGAGCGACGCCGCGUGAACGAAGAAGCCCUUCGGGGUGUAAAGUUCUUUUAACUGGGAACAAUAGGUUUUUUAUCUAUGAGCGUACCAGUUGAAUAAGGGGCUGCUAAACUCGUGCCAGCAGCAGCGGUAAUACGAGUGCCCCAAGCGUUAUCCGGAAUCACUGGGCGUAAAGCGUGAGUAGGCGGUUUUAAUAGUGGGUGGUUAAAUUCCGGAGCUUAACUUCGGAGCCGCCAUCCAAACGUCAAAACUAGAGCAGGCGAAAGGCUGAUGGAACCUACCAAGUAGGGGUGAAAUCCGUUGAUAUGGUAGGGAACACCAAAGGCGAAGGCAUUCAGCUGGCGCCUGGCUGACGCUGAAUCACGAAAGCGCGGGGAGAAAAAAGGAUUAGAUACCCUUGUAUUCCGCGCCCUAAACUAUGCCAACUCGCCGUUUGAAGUAUCGACCCUUUAAGUGGCUAAGCUAACGCGUUAAGUUGGCCGCCUGGGAAGUACGGCCGCAAGGCUAAAACUCAAAGGAAUAGACGGGGAUUUGCACAAGCGGUGGACCAUGUGGUUCAAUUCGACUCUAAGCGAGGAACCUUACCAGGGCUAGACUCCCUGAUGAAAAACUUGUGAAAGCAGGUUUGUCUUACAAGGACAUCAGGGUCAGGUGGUGCACGGUUGUCGUCAGCAUGUGGCUUGAGCUGCCCCCUUAAAUGGGUUAACAUGCGCAACCCUUACUGUCUGUUACAAGUGUCAGACGGAACUGCCUCCGUACAGGGGGAGGAAGGUGAGGAUGACGUCAAAUCAGCGUGUCCCUUUGAUGCCCUGGGCGACACACGUGGUACAAUGGCCGCUACAAUGGGUUGCCAAGCCGUAAGGCGGAGCUAAUCCCAUCAAAAGCGGUCUCAGUUCGGAUUGAGGGCUGAAAUUCGCCCUCAUGAAGCCGGAAUCGCUAGUAAUCGUGAAUCAGCCAUGUCACGGUGAAUACGUUCCCAAAUCUUGUACUCACUGCCCAUCAAUCUAGAAAAGUGGGGAGUACCCGAAGUUUCCAUUUAUUGGGACCUAAGGUAAGCUCCAUAAUUAGAGAUAAGUUGUAACAAGGCACGCGUAGCGGAAGCUGUGCGUGGAUCACCUCCUUU